rnacentral:rRNA from 1 species
UACGUAGGGUGCGAGCGUUAAUCGGAAUUACUGGGCGUAAAGCGUGCGCAGGCGGUUCGUUAAGUUCGUUGUGAAAGUCCCGGGCUCAACCUGGGAACUGCAAUGGAAACUGGCGGGCUUGAGUGUGGCAGAGGGGGGUGGAAUUCCGCGUGUAGCAGUGAAAUGCGUAGAGAUGCGGAGGAACACCGAUGGCGAAGGCAGCCCCCUGGGCCAACACUGACGCUCAGGCACGAAAGCGUGGGGAGCAAACAGG